UCACCCCGGCUUUCCACAGGAGCCGUCAGCAGCAUGUUACUGCAGCAGCACUUCAUAGCUGCUGAUAGGAACCGCUGUGGUCAACAGAACCUUUUCCACUGGAGCCAUCAGCAGCGCGAGUCGGCCGCGUCUCAGGAGCAGCAUGUCGCGGCCUUUACGCGCCGGUUCUAUUUUUUUCGCGCGACGCCUCUGAAACGGGUCAAGUUCGACAUUUUUGGGGAAGGAAAGACAGGAAAUCGGACGUGGAAAUGGAGAGAAGCUCCCGAGAUUUUCAGAAUAAAGAACGUACUGCCUUCCGGUUGCUUUACUUUAAAAAAGGUUACUAACUGUGCAGCCCCGUGAGAAGUUGUCACAUAGCUAGCGGUCUCCUUUGUUUUUCAGGUCCGUAUUGGCGAUUAUCAAACGGACAGAACAUAAAACACAAACCAUGUUGUAAUUUUCUCCUGCUUGUUGUUGUGUUUACUGACGAAGUCACUCGUGUGACUUCGUGCUCGGUCGGUGACAGCUGCUCCCCUGCUGCUUCGCGUCUCGUGGGAAGGGCCAAGCAGCAGCUUACGCGAGCAAGACGUGCUGCUGCAGUAACGUGCUGCUGACGGCUCCUGUGGAAACCCGGGGUAACUCAGCACUAGUUGACAGACAGCAUUACAGCGUGAAAUUCAGCUUGUGACCCGAUUCCGUGAGGAAUUCUGUUCAGGAGGUCUCAUUUCAGGCUCUCCACAUCAUAUGUGACUGACUUUUACGUUAUAAUAACGAUCAAACACUAGGAAUGUUAUAAAGCGUUGUAAUGUUAUAAAUUCUUUUGUAUAUUAUCUGACUUUAUAAACUCCAACAACAAAGUGCUUCUAUUUUUUUUUCAGGUUAAAUCUACCCAAGACACUGGCUGUCAGAAUGCACUUGUCCAGGCUGACGUGAAGCCUUACCCGUAGCAUUUUUUUUAAUAAUCUUCUAUGUAAACAUUUUAUUAUUACCUUCUAGUUUUAAUUUGUUAUACAGAUUAUUGUUACAUGUGAUUUUAUGCUCUUUUAAACAUUUAUAAAUGUGCUGCUUCUUUGUUUUUUACAUAGUCAGCCAGAAUAGAGCUCGCAGCCGCAGUGUGUCUUGUGACACAGGGACCAUGACGGAAAUUCAUCUUCCAGAAAGUCCCAGAGCAGCGUCCACACCCCUGAAAAGACCAAGAUGUGAGGUGUCUGCUGUUGAUUCCAGCUUCCACCUCAGUGACAGUGCAAGCUCAGUGAACUGUUCAAGGAGGCUACUGAUUCUGGCCCUGUGACACUUGGUGGUGACGUGUGAGCUGAUUCACCUGGUAAAUAACUUUUGCAUUAAAUAUUUUGUUUUUGCUAUCAAAAGUAAAUUAACUAAUAACGUGCAUUAUUGCAGGACACUCAGCAAAAUAUGGACUCUACACCAUGAGGCAGGCACACGUUAAUACUCUAUAAGAGCACAUAAGCCUGGCUGAUCACCUGAUAACUCCUGUCAUCUGGUUGUGACAGCAUGAGGAUGUCCUCACACACCUGUAACCUAUCAGCUCAUCUGGCAGAAUAGAGAGAGAAGAGACAACACCACAUCUCCUGUUCCUGGAAAGCCUUCAGCCAUCCUUCGAUGACUGAGAACCUCCAUCAGCUCUGUCUCCUGUCUGCCUACAAUUAUUAUAAUAAAUAUUGUGUUUGACAAGUUU